rnacentral:rRNA from 1 species
ACUGUAGCGCGGAGGAGUACAUUA